rnacentral:siRNA from 1 species
UCCUUUACGGAGAAGCCUCUCUA